GUUUAUAUAGUUUAGAAAAACUUUACACUUUCAUUGUAAAAUCGGAUUUUAUCCUAUAAACA
rnacentral:tRNA from 1 species